rnacentral:lncRNA from 1 species
AUUUCUUCAUUUUACUCUGUAAUAAUAUUUCUCUCAUCUUUCAGAGAGUUUCAAAACGCUCUGCCUUCUCUCUACUUUAUCUCUCUAGAUUUUCUAUGAUUUCUCGGUCUAAUAUCAAUGUUUACAUGGUAUCAGAGCCUAGACGACGAUCCGAUUGUGUUUCUCUACUUCUCGUUGUCUUGGUUGAACUCUUUUUGAGAUUUUCUAGGGCUUUUUCUGAGACCUUAUGGUCGAUGAUGGCUUUGACCUAGAUCGGAUGUUUUUCCGAGCUUUUCGUCAUGAUAUUUGAGUAUAUUCUCUUCACCCGAACAUUCUGAGAGUUUUUCUGAUGAUUUUGGAUGGUUUCUCAGUGACCUAUCGGCUUCUAGGGUUUCUGGUGGUUUAACCUAGGGUUGUACUGCUUUCCGGUGGCUCGAUUCUCACUCAGUGAACGUUUUGGGUUCCUCUCCGACGUUCCUGACCACAUUUCCAGUAAGGAUUUUCAAGGUUACACCUAGGGUUUGAUACCUAGGGUUUCUCUAUUGUUUGAAGGCCGAUCUUCUCCGUCGCGAAGAAGGAGGGUAACUCUGUCCUUAUCUUCGGUAUUAUAUGUGAUUAUCUGACUUUG